rnacentral:lncRNA from 1 species
GGGGCAACCCGCUGGGGUCGUCUUCCAUGCGGUAGAAGCUUUGUUCUUUUGCUGUUUGCAAUAAAUCUUGUUGCUGGUCACUGUUUGGGUCCGCACUGCCUUUGUGAGCUGUAACGCUCACCACGAAGGUCUGCGGGUUCACUGCUGAGGCCAGUGAGAGCCCGAGCCCACCAGGAGGAAUGAACAACUCCGGAUGGGAGAAACGAACAACUCCAGAUCCGCCGACUUAAGAGCUGCAACACUCACCGCCAAGCUAUGCAGCUUGACUCCUGAAGCCAGCGAGACCACGAACCCAUCAGAAGAAAAACUGUGAACACACCCGAGGAAUAAACUCCGGACACACCAUCUUUAAGAAUUGUAACACUCACCACGAGGGUCCACGGCUUCAUUCUUGAGCAAGCUACCACUGUUUAGAGAGAGUCUCCUGUUGUCUUCGUCCUGAGGCUUCUUCCAUCUGCACGGAGGUUCCGAAGCGUUUAUGACAUAUCAAUCCCUCUACCAUCAGGCACACAUUUCACUGUUUUGGGAGAAGGCCUUUGGACUGAAGCUGGAAUCACUGCUGCUCCGUGGGUGCUUGUCAUGGCUCCUGUGGAUGGGAACCCGCUAGGCUUCUAGGCUCUGCAUGGGUUUGUCUUUUUGAAUAAAUUGAGCAAUUGAAUUAUU